rnacentral:rRNA from 1 species
AUGGAUUCCAUCUUGGCGAAUGAAACCUGGGAGAUAACUGAUCGUCCUUAUGGGUGCAAACCUAUAGGAUGCAAAUGGGUAUUCAAGAAGAAGCUUAGGCCUGAUGGCUUUGUUGUAAAUGAAGCUGACAAAUGUGUGUACUAUCGCCAUGGUGGGGGCGAGGGAGUUAUCCUUUGCUUGUAUGUUGAUGACAUACUGAUUUUCGAAACAAAUGUGAAUGUUAUUAAGGAGGUCAAGGAUUUCUUAUCUCGUUAUUUUGAGAUGAAGGAUUUAGGAGUGGCUAAUGUCAUUCUCAACAUCAUGUUGUUGAGAGACGAUGAUGGUGGAAUUACAUUUCUUCAAUCUCACUAUGUGGAAAAGAUCUUGAGUCGCUUUGGCUAUAGUGACUGCACUACAAAUUAUGGAAUUCACUAA